UACGUAGGCAGCAAGCGUUGUUCGGAGUUACUGGGCGUAAAGGGCUCGUAGGCGGCCAACUAAGUCGGACGUGAAAUCCCUCGGCUUAACCGGGGAACUGCGUCCGAUACUGGAUGGCUUGAGUUUGGGAGAGGGAUGCGGAAUUCCAGGUGUAGCGGUGAAAUGCGUAGAUAUCUGGAGGAACACCGGUGGCGAAGGCGGCAUCCUGGACCAACACUGACGCUGAUGAGCGAAAGCCAGGGGAGCAAACGGG
rnacentral:rRNA from 1 species